ACUAGGACAUUGGCGGUGCUGACGAGAUUGACAGAUCAAGUUCAUGAAUGGUGCCAAUAUGAUCGCUGGUGCAGAUGUUAGCUUCAUAAUUUUUUUUCGUAAAAAGUUAUGAAUGUGUAUGCAAGUCAUACGUACAUUGCUAUUCCUGAUAUAGGAAAGAAAUUUCGAUGAGCAUCUUUUCUUUCGUUUACUUUCUUUUACAAAAAUUCUAAAAUCUUCCACAUUUUUUUCCUUUCGCUUACUUUCUUUUACAAAAAUACUAAAAUCUUCCUCCUUUUUGGUUAGCGACUCCACUCGUGUCAACAGAGCUGUAAGCCUAAUUAUGUGUUUGCUAUUACAUUAAACGUAACUCACAUUGAUAUUACUUACUUAUUCUAUAUAUAAAUAAUCACGUAUCAGAGUAGUUUAUUCCAUGCACGAACAACCAACAACCCCAAAAAAACCAAACCCUGGAUCUACUCCCAACCUCAGCCGCUGGCCCCUUGCUCCGACUUAUGAUUAGCAACAGCCUCACUCUUAUGGCACCUUCACUUUGCUUGGCUUGCAGGAGCGGUGGAUCUUACAGAUGCAGAUGCAGUAUCGUCUCAGGUAGAGAGAACCUGGUCGGUGGAUAUAAGAGAACGGUGGAUUCUAUUCUUGCAUUAGUGUACGUUUCGUAUGUACGACAUCUAGUGGGUGAUGUCUUGCCCAGCAAUUGAUGGGGUCUGCUGCGUUUGCUGUGUUUGUGGCAGAUUGGUACGGAAGUGCUUGUAGGAGCCGUUAGGAGUUUACUGUUUAUGCUUAUUUAUUUGAGUUAUUUAUAGAUCAGUCUAUUGGUCA